CUUUUCGACGCCAUUGUGAGUGUGGUGUGCACGUUGCCAUUGAAAAUUUGGCUGAAAAUCCGAGAUGGGACACGAAAACGUGUGGUAUUCGCACCCUAGGAAGUACGGACCUGGCUCCCGUCAGUGCCGCGUGUGCUCCAACCACCAUGGACUGAUCCGCAAGUACGGUUUGAUGCUCUGCAGAAGAUGUUUCAGAGAGUACGCUGGUGAGAUCGGCUUCAAGAAGAUGGACUGAAUAUCUCUCCCGGCGUCCGGAUGCGGGACACCCAGCAGUUCAUGUCAAUAAAAGCUAUGUCCUGCA